GAGUUCGAUCGUGGCUCAGGAUGAAUGUUGGUGGCAUGCUUAACACAUGUAAGUCAGAUGGGAAACAUGGGAAAUGGUGUUUCUGUUGUAGGACGGGUGAGUAACACGUAAGAACCUGCCCUUGGGAGGGGGACAACAACUGGAAAUAGCUGCUAAUACCCCGUAGGCUGAGGAGCAAAAGGAGGAAUCCACCCGAGGAGGGGCUCACAUCUGAUUAGCUAGUUGGUGAGGCAAUAUCUUACCAAUGCGAUGAUCAGUAGCUGGUCCGAGAGGAUGAUCAGCCACACUGGGACUGAGACACGGCCCAGACUCCUACGAGAGACAGCAGUGGGGAAUUUUUCAUAAUGGGUGAAAGCCUGAUGGAUUUAAUGCCGCAUGGAGGUAGAAGGCUCAUGGAUUGUGAACUUCUUUUCUCAGAGCAGCAAGACCAAACUGGUUUAUUCAUCUGCACGGAAAAAACGCAAAGCCCAAAAGUCACGGAGGUCUUUUUUC
rnacentral:ncRNA from 1 species